rnacentral:lncRNA from 9 species
AUGAGCUACACAGAGUCCAACCCAACAGAAUGCUAUGAAAGCAAGAAGAAUACAGGAGCAAAUCUGUACCUUUUGAGCAAGACACGGGGACAGACAUGGCACUCGAAUGAAGGGACUGCUCUCAGCUCACUUGUAACAAAAAAGGAACAGCCCUGUGAUGUCCAGCCCGGUGACCCAUCAGCCCAACAGUUCAAGGGAGGUCUUCUUGGCUCUGUGUGGGGAGGAUGUCUUUCUGCUCUCUCCAGUCAUUCCAGUGUCUGGAAUGUCCUCAGUUCACCCUGGCUGGAGGAUUAUUGCCUGUGAAUUUGAAACUUCUGCAGACUGGCUGUGAGGAAGGAUCAAGUAAUAUCACAGGCUUGGCCGGGGAGACUGUAGAGAGGACAUUCUGACCCAGGAUUAUUCAUGAGCUGCUGCAUAAUCACGGUCUGCAGACAUUCUUAAAAGUUCUCAUCUCAUUGCAGCACUAUUCACAAGAGCCAAGACACGGAAUCAACCCAAAUGUCCACUGACAAGAUGAUUGGAUUAGGAAGAUGUGGUACAUAUACAUAAUGGAAUACUACUCAGCCAUAAAAAGAACAAAACAAUGCCAUUUGCAGCAACGUGGAUGGAACUAGAGACUCUCAUCCUGAGUGAAGUAAGACAGAAAGAAAAAGACAAACAUCAUAUGAUAUCACUUUUAUCUGGAACAUAAUAUACGACACAAAGGAACCUUUCCACAGAAAAGAAAAUCAUGGGCUUGGAGAAUAGACUGUGCUUGCCAAGAGGGAAGGGGAGGGAGUGGGAGAGAUUGGGAGCUUGGGGUAAAUAGAUGCAGAAAGUUGCCUUCAGGAUGGAUGAGCAAUGGGAUCCUGCUGUGUAGCACUGAGAACUCUGUCUAGUCUCUUAAUGAUGGAACAUGUAAUGUGAGAAAAAAGAAUGUAUACACGUAACUGUAACUGAGUCACCAUGCUGUACAGUAGAAAACAAUAUACACAUAAAUCAAAGAUUAAAAAAAAGAAAAAUAUGCUACUAUAUGAUGUGAUGGUAACCAUUUCACAAUCCAUACACAUAUCAAAUCAUCAUGUUGUAUAUCUGAAAUGAAUACAAUAAUGAAUUUUCAUUAUAUCAUAAUAAAACUGGGGAAAAUCAAAAGCUUAGCACUUCCCACACUCUAAUGUGCUUCACUAACAGCAGCCAUACUCACCUUCCACUCCUAUUCCCGUUGUGGCUCAGUGGUUAACGAACCUGACUAGUAUCCAUGAGGAUGCGGGUUCAAUCCCUAGCCUUGCUCAGUGGGUUAAGGAUUUGUGUAGCUGUGACUGUGGUGCAAGCUGGUGGCUACAGCUCCAAUUUGACCUCUUGCCUGGGAACAUCCAUAUGC